AGAGUUUGAUCCUGGCUCAGAUUGAACGCUGGCGGAAUGCUUUACACAUGCAAGUCGAACGGUAGAGGGGGCAACCCCUUGAGAGUGGCGAACGGGUGAGUAAUAUAUCGGAACGUGCCCAGUCGUGGGGGAUAACGUAGCGAAAGUUACGCUAAUACCGCAUACGAUCUAAGGAUGAAAGCGGGGGAUCGCAAGACCUCGCGCGACUGGAGCGGCCGAUAUCAGAUUAGGUAGUUGGUAGGGUAAAGGCCUACCAAGCCAACGAUCCGUAACUGGUCUGAGAGGAUGAUCAGUCACACUGGAACUGAGACACGGUCCAGACUCCUACGGGAGGCAGCAGUGGGGAAUAUUGGACAAUGGGCGAAAGCCUGAUCCAGCCAUGCCGCGUGUGUGAAGAAGGUCUUCGGAUUGUAAAGCACUUUAAGUUGGGAGGAAGGGCAUUAACCUAAUACGUUAGUGUUUUGACGUUACCGACAGAAUAAGCACCGGCUAACUCUGUGCCAGCAGCCGCGGUAAUACAGAGGGUGCAAGCGUUAAUCGGAAUUACUGGGCGUAAAGCGCGCGUAGGGUGGUUUGUUAAGGUUGGAUGUGAAAGCCCCGGGCUCAACCUGGGAACUGCAUCCAAAACUGGCAAGCUAGAGUACGGUAGAGGGUGGGGGGAAUUUCCUGUGUAGCGGUGAAAUGCGUAGAUAUAGGAAGGAACACCAGUGGCGAAGGCGACCACCUGGACUGAUACUGACACUGAGGUGCGAAAGCGUGGGGAGCAAACAGGAUUAGAUACCCUGGUAGUCCACGCCGUAAACGAUGGGCGCUAGUUGUGCGAACCUUCCACGGUUUGUGCGACGCAGCUAACGCAUUAAGCGCCCCGCCUGGGGAGUACGAUCGCAAGAUUAAAACUCAAAGGAAUUGACGGGGCCCCGCACAAGCAGCGGAGCAUGCGGCUUAAUUCGACGCAACGCGAAGAACCUUACCAAGGCUUGACAUAUACAGGAAUACGGCAGAGAUGUCGUAGCGGUUAAACGUCUGUAUACAGGUGGUGCAUGGUUGUCGUCAGCUCGUGUCGUGAGAUGUUGGGUUAAGUCCCGCAACGAGCGCAACCCUCGUUCUGUGUUGCCAGCAUUUAGUUGGGGACUCACAGGAGACUGCCGGGGUUAACUCGGAGGAAGGUGGGGAUGACGUCAAAUCAUCAUGCCCCUUAUGUCUUGGGCUGCACGCAUGCUACAAUGGCUGGUACAAAGGGCUGCAAUACUGCAAAGUGGAGCGAAUCCCAAAAAGCCAGUCUCAGUUCGGAUUGGGGUCUGCAACUCGACCCCAUGAAGUCGGAGUUGCUAGUAAUCGUAGAUCAGCAACGCUACGGUGAAUACGUUCCCGGGGCUUGUACACACCGCCCGUCACAUCACGAAAGUCGGUAACACCCGAAGUCAGUGGCCCAACCGUAAGGAGGGAGCUGCCGAAGGUGGGAUCGGUGAUUGGGAUGAAGUCGUAACAAGGUAACC
rnacentral:rRNA from 1 species